rnacentral:rRNA from 1 species
GACGAACGCUGGCGGCGUGCUUAACACAUGCAAGUCGAACGGAAAGGCCCUGCUUUUGUGGGGUGCUCGAGUGGCGAACGGGUGAGUAACACGUGAGUAACCUGCCCUUGACUUUGGGAUAACUUCAGGAAACUGGGGCUAAUACCGGAUAGGAGCUCCUGCUGCAUGGUGGGGGUUGGAAAGUUUCGGCGGUUGGGGAUGGACUCGCGGCUUAUCAGCUUGUUGGUGGGGUAGUGGCUUACCAAGGCUUUGACGGGUAGCCGGCCUGAGAGGGUGACCGGCCACAUUGGGACUGAGAUACGGCCCAGACUCCUACGGGAGGCAGCAGUAGGGAAUAUUGCACGAUGGGCGGAAGCCUGAUGCAGCAACGCCGCGUGCGGGAUGACGGCCUGCGGGUUGUAGACCGCUUUCGCCUGUGACGAAGCGUGAGUGACGGUAAUGGGUAAAGAAGCACCGGCUAACUACGUG